rnacentral:rRNA from 1 species
UACAGAGGGUGGCGGGCGUAAUCGGAAUUACUGGGCGUAAAGCGCACGUAGGCGGAUUUGUUAGUCAGGGGUGAAAUCCCGGGGCUCAACCUCGGAACUGCCUUUGAUACUGACAAGUCUCGAGUCCGAUAGAGGUGGGUGGAAUUCCUAGUGUAGAGGUGAAAUUCGUAGAUAUUAGGAAGAACACCGGUGGCGAAGGCGGCCCACUGGAUCGGUACUGACGCUGAGGUGCGAAAGCGUGGGGAGCAAACAGG